GGGUCGUUAGCUCAGUUGGUAGAGCAGUGGACUCUUAAUCCAUCGGUCGUAGGUUCGAAUCCUACACGACCCACCA
rnacentral:tRNA from 7 species